UACCCAAAACAACAUUUAGAGACCAUCCAUCACAAGAAAAAAGAGUUGCCAAGGGGCAGCGUGCGACAUACCCUGAUCUCGUCCUCGGUCGGCGCCGGCGCCGCGGGGCUGCUCCUGCUGCUGCUGCUGUACAUUUGGUUUGAAGGGGGCUCUGUUGGGUGGC